GUCUGCUGCCCACCCAGGAGGCCCACGGGGAUGGGAGGGGAGGAGAGUCCUCGGUCGGCUGCGCACGCUGAGGGAGGCCAGCAGGGUCCAGAGCUGGAGGGGCCUGUGGGCACGCCGCUGUGGGGAGCGGACAGCUGGCCGGGGCCUGCGGCACUGUGGGCCGCUCUGCUUGGCUGGCGGGCAUCUCGUGGGCCCCUGGGGUGGGGAGCGGCCGAGCGCCAGCACCCUGGGGUCGGGUGGGGCUCCCAGAGACAGGCUGUCCUGUGUCCGUCUGCACCCGCUCUGGUUGGGGGCCCGGCCGGCCAGGCAGGCCCAGCCUCCUGGGCUGGCUCUCUCAGGGUGAAGGCCUCGGCACCAUCGCACUCUCCCUCCGGUCCGUUUUUCCAUCUCACACCCGAAACCCAGCGUUUGUCGGCUGAGGGGCCCGGAACUGCCAGCGGCCCCGGAGCAGGAGUGGGGGUCGGCGUUGUGGGUGCUCCCCCAAGCCUUUCUACCCCGGGGGGGGGUGUGGGGGUGCCCCCGAGCCUGGGUGAGGACAGGCCAGCCUCCCGGCCUCCGUGGGGAAGAGGGUGUCCGUUCUUUGCCCUCCAGGGUCCAGCCCAGGCUGAGCGAGAGGCGCCUGGGCUGACCGUGUGGAGGACCCCACAGACGUCUCCUUGCUCUGGGGCCCCCAUUCCCGCCCCCAGGAGACGUGUCCCCGGCCGCCCCAGCACCCGCCCCACCCGCCCUCUGCAGCAGAGGUGGGGCGAGCCGGGGCCUGCCCAGCACCCCUGGAAGUCUCGGCCGCCUUGGGGGUGUGGUAGUGUCAGCAGAGUGACGCAGGCACCCCGGUGGUCCUCCCCCUGGGGUCCCCCCGGUGGUGGGUUUGUAAGGCUGCCCCUCACCCCGCACCCAGUGCCUUCUGCAGCUGGACACACCCCGUCCACGCCCCGCCCGCCCCGCUGCCCUGGACCACUCUGGAGCCCAGGAGAGGGCCCUGUGGGGGCUGGCCUGGGGGCCCCCCUGCCGCCCCGCCCGAAGCCCCCGGCACCCCCUCCCCCGGCCUCCUGCCUCGCCCCGCACCGGGCCCCCGGUGUCUUGGGGACAAGUCCCCCGUCUUCUCCUCGGGCACUGUCCUCGUAGCAUCCUUGCUGUGUUUGAAAAGGUGGGGAAAUGGCACGUUAUUCGGUAGAUAGACGUUUUCUUUAACCAGACCUUCAGUAGACCGAUCUGGUUCAAUUAAGGUGAUUUUUUUUGGUAAUUAUUAUUUUGGUGGGACAGUCUUUAAUUUUCUAAAGAUAGCACUAACGUCAGCUUGUUGGCCAUCCUGUGCCAUCCCCACUUGCUGGAUGCUUCCGGCAGGCACCCCCCCACCCCAGCAUCACCUCCCGCUCAGUCAUCAGGCGGGGCAGCCGCGGCCGAGGAGCAAAGACGACUGUGUCUCAGGUUCGGAAGGUGUCGGCCAGGCCAGCCUCUGGCUUGUCCCCCACUGGGCGAUUCCUUGGAAGCUGGCCCACCCGGGGACGUCUGUGCAGAGGGCACUCGCGUCAGCUGCUGGCCCUCAUCCCCCCGGGGGAGGAUGGCCCCCCACCCUGGGCGUCCCAGGAGGGUUUGGGCUGGCAGACCCCCCGGGCCAAGUGCUGGAGACCACGCCGCACUCCCUGCUCCGCGGAGGCCCUGGUUGGGCCCAGCCGGAACGUCCAGCUGGAGCGUGACGGGCUGACGUUGCUCCCACCGUGGGAUUUGGUCCCUGCCCACGCAGAGGUGAAGGCUCUCUGAGUCGACGUCGGGACGCCGGACGGGCGCGCGGGCCUCGGACGACACUGCUGCGGGCGAGAAGGUGGGCCUGGAAUUCUCGAGGGUUUUCCUCCCCUUCCGAGUAACGUUCACGCCUCGCUCUGCGCUCUCCCCGUGGCCAGCUGGCCUUCCCGGGACUGACUGUGAAAUUACUUCCCCCCACGUGACUGUUCUCAAAAGCAUCGCGGCCGCAGGUGCCGGGCGAACAAUGGUGUCAGAAUUGUGGAAAAGAGACUCGGAGCAAAACGGGAGAGGAGAAGCAAAACAUGAGCGUUUGAAAACAC